rnacentral:lncRNA from 1 species
AGUCUGGCGCACGGCUUCAGGGGAGAUUGGCAGCUGGGUCAAACAAAGUCCUUCCAUUGGCUCCCUUCCCAGGCAGCUUCUGCUAGUGUUUAGGUACUAGUGCAGUGUAGAACCCUUUUCUCAGGCAAAACCUAACAUCUGACCGCACCCUUUUUGCUAUUAAAAAAAAAAAAAAAAAAGCUUCUAUUUUUUUCCUCCUUUCGUUAAGAUAAAUUCUCCAGUAGACAACCUCUCUCACUAAUUGUGUAUUAGCAACGUAUUUUAUUUUGAGAGCUGUACACUGGGCUCUCAAUGUGGUGUGGAAGGUAGCCUGUUACAGUGCUGGAUUCAUAAAAGGGCCUUUAUGGUUUGUGAAAGAAUAUCUGUGUGCUUAGGGAGGAAACUUUUUGAUCUGCAGAAAAGCCAGAAAGAAGACAUCUAGGACAUCCAUAAAAAUUCUUCAGAGGGUGUUUUACUACUGAGCUGCAAAGAUGACAAGAGCACCUCAAAGGCAGCAGCCUCAAGAAGCAGCCAUGGCCCCAGAGUUGUCCCACGGAUGCAGAAAACUUAAUGGAGGAGGCUGAGGUCAGAAUGGGAAGAGUUUUUAAAAAGUAAAAAGGGGAGCUAAUAUGUGAGGAACUGAUUGCUG